CAGUAGCCGCGGGAAUACGUAGGUCCCGAGCGUUGUCCGGAUUUAUUGGACGUAAAGCGAGCGUAGGCGGUUAGAUAAGUCUGAAGUUAAAGGCUGUGGCUUAACCAUAGUACGCUUUGGAAACUGUUUAACUUGAGUGCAAGAGGGGAGAGUGGAAUUCCAUGUGUAGCGGUGAAAUGCGUAGAUAUAUGGAGGAACACCGGUGGCGAAAGCGGCUCUCUGGCUUGUAACUGACGCUGAGGCUCGAAAGCGUGGGGCGCAAACAGGAUUAGAUACCCCCGUAGUCCCUGUCUCUUAUACA
rnacentral:rRNA from 1 species